rnacentral:rRNA from 1 species
AGCCGAGCGGUAUUGUUUCUUCGGAAAUGAGAGAGCGGCGUACGGGUGCGGAACACGUGUGCAACCUGCCUUUAUCUGGGGGAUAGCCUUUCGAAAGGAAGAUUAAUACUCCAUAAUAUAUUGAACGGCAUCGUUUAAUAUUGAAAGCUCCGGCGGAUAGAGAUGGGCACGCGCAAGAUUAGCUAGUUGGUGAGGUAACGGCUCACCAAGGCGAUGAUCUUUAGGGGGCCUGAGAGGGUGAUCCCCCACACUGGUACUGAGACACGGACCAGACUCCUACGGGAGGCAGCAGUGAGGAAUAUUGGUCAAUGGGUGCAAGCCUGAACCAGCCAUCCCGCGUGAAGGACGACUGCCCUAUGGGCUGUAAACUUCUUUUGUAUAGGGAUAAACCUACCCUCGUGAGGGUAGCUGAAGGUACUAUACGAAUAAGCACCGGCUAACUCCGUGCCAGCAGCCGCGGUAAUACGGAGGGUGCAAGCGUUAUCCGGAUUUAUUGGGUUUAAAGGGUCCGUAGGCGGACUUAUAAGUCAGUGGUGAAAGCCUGUCGCUUAACGAUAGAACUGCCAUUGAUACUGUAAGUCUUGAGUAUAUUUGAGGUAGCUGGAAUAAGUAGUGUAGCGGUGAAAUGCAUAGAUAUUACUUAGAACACCAAUUGCGAA